rnacentral:pre_miRNA from 1 species
AUUGGAAUCACCUGGAGGGCUUGUUAAAACACAGGUUGCUGGGCAGCACCCUCCCUCAGAAUUUCUCUUCCAGUGGGUCUGGAGUGAGCCUGAGAGUUUGUAUUUUUAACAGGUCCCAGGUGAUGCUGAU